GGUAGCGUGGCCGAGUGGUCUAAGGCGCUGGAUUAAGUCUCUAGUCUCUUCGGGGGCGUGGGUUCGAAUCCCACCGCUGCCA
rnacentral:tRNA from 2 species